AUGAAUUUAAGCCCAUAAAAUUGGUAUGUAAAGCCUAAUUGAUUAACUAUAAAUAAUGACAAAAUCCAGACAGCAGAGAAGCUGUACUUGGACGCAAGGACAAGGGCAGAAUCGUAAUUGAGCCCGGAUGUGAAAAUUUUCCGGCUUCCGAAUUUGCUUUUUCCCACCCAAGCCAAAAGCAACUGCCAAAAUUCCAAUCCAGAUUCAAAACCUUCACAAAAAAGCAAUAAAUUUCCUCUAUCUUCACUGUUUACACAAUUAUACACACUCAUCUUUAACCUUCCUGCUCCUCUCCUCUCCGUUUUCUCUAUCUAAUCCCGAUGUACUAAUACUUUGGUUCAUCGUUUACUUGUUUUUUUUUCGUCGAUAGAUUUGCUAAAUUUGGUGCAUCAGUAAAUAUAGAAGCGAAAGGAAAGCACGUGGCAGAAUGAAGACGGUGGCGAUGGACUACUUUGGGGAGGCGGAAGAGCAGAGCGGCGGUGUCACGGUGGCGAUGGACGUCGAUGACGUCGAUUCAUCCUUAGAUCUCUUUGGCGAGGGGCCAAUUUUUGACCUCCACCGCUUGGUCGAUGCGGAUUUCUUCAACUCCUUCCAGGACGAUUUCGACGAUGAAGACAUUAACUAGUAUAAACUUCGUGCUUCUCUCCUCCUCCUGUGAUUUCAUCGCGUUUACAUUUGCUUGAAAUAUGGUGUAUCGGUUUUAUUUGAUAAGUGAAUCUAUUGUUGCUUGUAAGACCAGCAGCCGUGCUCUUGUCUAAUGAUGAACUUCUUUAGGGAUUUCUGUGUUUCUUUGUGGCUGAAUUUUAGCAGAAACCCUAGUUUUGCAA